AGAGCGAACGCUGGCGGCAGGCCUAACACAUGCAAGUCGAGCGCCCCGCAAGGGGAGCGGCAGACGGGAGAGUAACACGUGGGAACGUACCCUUCAGUUCGGAACAACCCAGGGAAACUUGGGCUAAUACCGAAUACGUCCGUAAGGAGAAAGAUUUAUCGCUGAAGGAUCGGCCCGCGUCUGAUUAGCUUGUUGGUGAGGUAACGGCUCACCAAGGCGACGAUCAGUAGCUGGUCUGAGAGGAUGAUCAGCCUCACUGGGACUGAGACACGGCCCAGACUCCUACGGGAGGCAGCAGUGGGGAAUAUUGGACAAUGGGCGCAAGCCUGAUCCAGCCAUGCCGCGUGGGUGAUGAAGGCCCUAGGGUUGUAAAGCCCUUUCGGCGGGGAAGAUAAUGACGGUACCCGCAGAAGAAGCCCCGGCUAACUUCGCGCCAGCAGCCGC
rnacentral:rRNA from 1 species